rnacentral:rRNA from 1 species
UACGUAGGGGGCAAGCGUUGUCCGGAUUUAUUGGGUUUAAAGGGUGCGUAGGCGGAUUAUUAAGUCAGUGGUGAAAGCCUUCAGCUUAACUGAAGAACUGCCAUUGAUACUGAUGAUCUUGAGUAUGAUUGAGGUGGGCGGAAUGUGUCAUGUAGCGGUGAAAUGCUUAGAUAUGACACAGAACACCGAUUGCGAAGGCAGCUCACUAAGCCAUAACUGACGCUGAUGCACGAAAGCGUGGGGAGCAAACAGG